GUCAUUGUUGCACUUGGAUUAGAUUCUCCAGAAGCGUGACAAUCCUCGCAACAAUUCCUGCACACGGCUCGU
rnacentral:sRNA from 1 species